rnacentral:rRNA from 1 species
UACAGAGGUCUCAAGCGUUGUUCGGAUUCAUUGGGCGUAAAGGGUGCGUAGGUGGCGGGGUAAGUCAGGUGUGAAAUUUCGGAGCUUAACUCCGAAACUGCAUUUGAUACUGCCUUGCUUGAGGACUGGAGAGGAGACUGGAAUUCACGGUGUAGCAGUGAAAUGCGUAGAUAUCGUGAGGAAGACCAGUGGCGAAGGCGGGUCUCUGGACAGUUCCUGACACUGAGGCA